AGAUUGAACGCUGGCGGCAUGCCUUACACAUGCAAGUCGAACGGCAGCACGGACUUCGGUCUGGUGGCGAGUGGCGAACGGGUGAGUAAUAUAUCGGAACGUACCCUGGAGUGGGGGAUAACGCAGCGAAAGUUGCGCUAAUACCGCAUACGAUCUACGGAUGAAAGUGGGGGAUUCGCAAGAACCUCAUGCUCGUGGAGCGGCCGAUAUCUGAUUAGCUAGUGUAGGUAAAGCUACCAAGGCAUCGAUCAGUAGCUGGUCUGAGAGGACGACCAGCCACACUGGGACUGAGACACGGCCCAGACUCCUACGGGAGGCAGCAGUGGGAAUUUGGACAAUGGGGCAACCCUGAUCCAGCAAUGCGCGUGAGUGAAGAAGGCCUUGGUGUAAGACGUCUUUGUCGAGGAAGAACGGUGAAGGCUAAUAUACCUUUAGACCUAAUAGACGUAACCUGAAGAAUAAG
rnacentral:rRNA from 1 species